UAUCUUCUUUCCUUCCUUUAUCUCGCCAUUCUGUUGUAUAUAUACACCUAUUAUUUUUCUUUAGUAUUCACCAAUAAUAAUCUAAAGUCAUGCUCGUUUUAAGUAUUGUAACUCUCGAUCACCGCUACCCUUUCCGAUUAAUCUGAGUCCCAUAACGCAUGUCAAGGCUCUGCCCGACUAAGUUCGUUUGGAUUCUAUCUCGGGACUUCGGGACAAGGUUGAAUUAGGGGUACUAUACUUAACACGAGUACAUUAUAUUUUUAAUUAGCUCAAAAGUUAUACCCAAAAUUUAUAUCAGGAGUCCUUCUAGUUGAACCCUAAAGUUACACAGUGGGUCCAUUCAUUUUUCUCACCAUUUUAUUCUCUUUUUGUAAUUUACCCAAAACUAUUAUUUAUUAUUCUAUUCUCACCAAAAGUCAUAUCUACUAUUUUAUUUACUCAAUAGGAAACCCUAGUUGAGACACCCAAGUAAUUUUACACAAUCUCUAAAAUUUUCAUAACAAACAGAAUCAGGAUCAGGGCCCCUAAAACUCAGGGGGGGUAAACCCUAGUUGAUGAUUAUCAAUAGAAACUCGUUGUCUAAAUCUGAUUGGACAAAACUAUAAAGUCAGCAGGCCUAGUCCCAAACGUGGCUACCCUAUAGUCGGUUCAUACCCCUUACUGACCGUAAGGGAUAAGGCUUACGGUCCAUAAGCCUGUCAAAUUUCGUGUAUAAAUAGCAGGCAUCGGCACUUGCAGUCUGCUGUUCAUACACCGAGUUAUCGUCCAAAUACUCUAAAAACACACACGCGAAUCACUAAUUAGUAUAGCAGGGUGCUGCUACGAUACAGGGUAUUAACUCGAUCGCUAUUACGAUUCAUUUUCCGACCGAUCAAUAUAUCCAAUGGAUGUUUAAGUGCCGCCCACACUAGGGUUAUACUUUGUCAUUCGUCGUUAAUUCAAUGGAUGUUUAAGUAUCGUACUUUGUCGUUCGUCGUUAAUUCGAUGGAUGUUUAAGUAUCGCACUUUGUCGUUCGUUGUUACAAGGCUAAAUCAAUAGGCUAAGCUCUGCCUGUGUAAAUCUGCAAUAUAUCAAGGCUUAUCUGUAGACUAAACUUUGGCCGUAUGAAUCUGCAUGUUUAUAAUGUGAGUCAUUUUCUCUUUUUAUCAAAUGUUUUACAAUACUCCAAAUUAUUUUCAGAAUAAUAAUUACAGUGAUUAAGUUGAUGUAAUCACCAAAUUACAGCCAGUAUGUGGGGUAUUGUGCACAUUACUAUUGUUUUUAUCACUUUAAGUGGGCGAACCUAAAAUUAAGUGAUACGUCAUUCAUUGGGGCAGCCAAUGGUGAUAUGACCAUUGUCACAGAUUCGGUCGAGUGACAAAUACUGUGGGUAGUUGGUUGAUAUCAGAAACAUAUGUAAAAGAUCUUAAUACUGUAAAUUAAAAUAAACGAGUCGUUU
rnacentral:lncRNA from 1 species